AAUCUAACAGUUCACAAGAAUAGAAUCAUUCCCAGCUCGGCGUUGGACAGGGCUCUUCAUGCUUUGUACUUCUCUUUGCCGUGUUCACUGAUCACACAGAUAUGCUGAGAGAGAGAGAGAGAGAGAAGGAAUGAGACAGGGGCUUACCAUAAGCAGUACUCGGCUACCACAGUAUACUUACAUUGAGAUCUCUAAAGUACUCGUUAUAGUCUAGCGCAUAUCCCACGAGGUACUUGUCAGGAACUUCAAAUCCUACAACUGAAAAGAGAACUUCAUUCAUUGAUUUGUCGUGUCUCAAACAAGCCCUGGAAACUUUGCAGGAGGCUUGGUGUAUAUCUGCUUUUUAAAUGCGUGUACAUGAAAGCAAUGCAGACCCCUGGAAGACUGACAUCAACUAGGUACCAUUGAUGCUUAUCAGACAAAACCCCAAGGAUCACUCACAGUCUGGUCUGUAUCCGACACUCCUGGGCGUUCUCUUCACCAGCAAGCUGUUGAGACAGAGGAUUGACAUAUAGAUCAACCACAGAAACAGCACAGGCUUGCAUUACAAGCACAGAGCCCACAUUACAACAUCACAGGCCUGCAUCACUACCAGCAUCUAAAAACAGCUGGAGGUGGGGGGCACUGAGGACCCACAGAGAGCGCUCUGCACAGAACCACACUGAGGAUCCACGGAGAGCGCUCUGCACAGAACCACACUGAGGAUCCACAGAGAGCGCUCUGCACAGAACCACACUGAAAAUCCACAGAGAGACUGCACAGAACCACACUGAGGAUCCACAGAGAGCGCUCUGCACAGAACCACACUGAAAAUCCACAGAGAGACUGCACAGAACCACACUGAGGAUCCACAGAGAGCGCUCUGCACAGAACCACACUGAAAAUCCACAGAGAGACUGCACAGAACCACACUGAGGAUCCACAGAGAGACUGCACAGAACCACACUGAGGAUCCACAGAGAGACUGCACAGAACCACACUGAGGAUCCACAGAGAGCGCUCUGCACAGAACCACACUGAAAAUCCACAGAGAGACUGCACAGAACCACACUGAGGAUCCACAGAGAGCGCUCUGCACAGAACCACACUGAAAAUCCACAGAGAGACUGCACAGAACCACACUGAGGAUCCACAGAGAGACUGCACAGAACCACACUGAGGAUCCACAGAGAGACUGCACAGAACCACACUGAGGACCCACAGACAGCGCUCUGCAAAGAACCACACUGAGGAUCCACGGAGAGCGCUCUGCACAGAACCACACUGAGGAUCCACAGACAGCGCUCUGCACAGAACCACACUGAGGAUCCACGGAGAGCGCUCUGCACAGAACCACACUGAGGAUCCACAGACAGCGCUCUGCACAGAACCACACUGAGGAUCCACGGAGAGCGCUCUGCACAGAACCACACUGAGGAUCCACAGAGAGCACUCUGCACAGAACCACACUGAGGAUCCACAGAGAGCGCUCUGCACAGAACCACACUGAGGAUCCACAGAGAGCCUGCACAGAACCACACUGAGGAUCCACAGAGAGCGCUCUGCACAGAACCACACUGAGGAUCCACAGAGAGCGCUCUGCACAGAACCACACUGAGGAUCCACGGAGAGCGCUCUGCACAGAACCACACUGAGGAUCCACAGAGAGACUGCACAGAACCACAGAGGACCCACAGUCCCCAUUGAAUUGAAUUGAGAGGGAGGUCUACAUGUUGAUCUGGUCUUAUUAUAAAUAAGGAGGGUAGUGUAGCGCAGGGAUGAAGGCUGAUCAUCUCAAUCGCUGGCUGUGUUAACAUGCUGUGUUCAUAGAAGUGCAGUCAGCUAUGCCCUUCACAAUCACAAGGGGAUGCAAUACCACUCACUCCCACCAGAGGGUACUACAGCACCGUUGCUCUGCAAGACGUCACAAAGGCCACCUGUCCGUGCUGCUUGUAGUACAGCAGCUGUGCAGCUGGGGAGAGGAGACAGGCUUUGAAGAACAGGCUACAGCAAUUCAAAACGGAGCCCAUCAGCUUACCUCGCCACCUUUACCAUCUUGGGGUUGAACUGUUUCAGCAACUUCAGUAAAGUCUUCAUGGUUUUGCCUGUGUCGAUAAUGUCCUGGAAUAAAAACAAGGCAAAUGUAACAAGAAAUAUAAUAAAUCCAUGAGCAGCAAGUCGGAAAACAAACCACACAAUGAGCUUUAGAGAUGCAGAGACUCUAAAAGCAGGCUGCAUCCGCCAUCCCCACUGUGGUUUCAGUCUGGCUUACGAGUUCUGAGUUUGCAGUGAGACUUCUUAGACUGGUCUGAUGAGCAAGAAUUUAUAAUAAAUCACCACUCACCUCAACUAUCAGGACGUUCUGUGAGAGAGAGGGAGAGAGAGAUAAAGAUUAGAUUGCAUUUAAAAAGGUGCAAUCUUACUACAUCGAUGAUGUCAUGGUUUUUAAGCCCUACCUUCCCAGUCAGUGUAGAAAGGUCGUCUCCCCCGAUAACUUUGAUUUCACCCGUCGACUGAUCAUUCUGAAAGGGAAAAAGAAACCACAAAACAGCACGAUAAAUAACCUGCAGACAGACAGACAGAUCCACUUCAAGGGUGCCACUCCUGUCCUAUUUUGGGGAUUUUUGAUUAGUGGGUUGCUUGCUAAUUGAUGGCCAUGUUUAAGACUUUUAAAUACCCAAGUUUGUAGAGUAACUGAGGGCUAUCUGAAUCCUACUGGCGGUGUCCCCCUGAGCCUUAGCGAUCGUGAAAUGGGAAGGGGGCCCUCGGCCGUGCACAGCAGGGAGCAGAGGGUUCAAUCCCUUACACAGUAGCUCUUGAGCCUGAUGAAGUCCACUGUCAUGGGGAUGGACUUGUCGCUGUUGCGGUUCAAGGCCUUGAUGUAAUCCAGCAGGUCAGCGAAGAACUUGUACCCGCCCUUCAGGACGCACAGCGCCACGAUGUGGUGACCGCCCAUAUCACGCAUGAUGUCACGGGCCAGGCGCUCCGUCCUGCAGGGGGAGAGAGAGAGAUCGCACCCAUCUGUUAGCUUGCCUGCGUUGAGGGUGUCCCUGGAUUGAUUCCUCUCGCCUCCUACACCCGCACUCUGCAGGGUCAGACGGCACAGAUCCAGGACGUGACCUGAGCUAUCUGUCUGCAUCUCACCCCGGCAGCUGGAAGUACUGAUCUAGAAAUCACAGCCCAGUCGUGACCGAGCAGAUCACAAGCAAACUCACAGCAGAAGAGUCUGAGGAAUCCAGCUCAAUCACACACAGAGAGAGGCUGUGUAGGAUUGUGAGGAUGAGAGAUGGAUUGAUUGCACAUCACUGUCUACUGCAUGUGAACUCACUUUAACAAGGAGGACGACUCGCUGGCCUCGUUGUGCACUGAACACGCGCACGCACACGCACACGCAAGGAUCAAAUCCACCCUGUUUACAGAGUUCCUCUGUAAAGCCAAACUUUAACUCCCUUAUAAAUGAAUGACCUUUUUAAAUAAAAUGCUUUUUUCUUUG